CAGCCGCGGUAAGGCGUAGGGGCCGGGCGUUGUCCGGAGUUACUGGGCGUAAAGGGCGCGCAGGCGGCCGGUCGCAUCGGCGGUGAAAGCCCCCCGCUCAACGGGGGAGGGUCCGUCGAGAUGGAUCGGCUGGAGGCAGGGAGAGGGCGGUGGAAUUCCGGGUGUAGUGGUGAAAUGCGUAGAGAUCCGGAGGAACACCAGUGGCGAAGGCGGCCGCCUGGACCUGACCUGACGCUGAGGCGCGAAGGCGUGGGGAGCGAA
rnacentral:rRNA from 1 species